UUUUCAGCUUCUAUAGUGGAAAGGAGGCCUGGGUGAGGCAGGGGAUUGGAGACGGCUUUGGGGAGCUAACUGGUACACUGGCCGAGUGCCAUCAAUUCUGCACAUUAAUGCAGUAAAUCGAGUUAGAGAAGCCUGUAUUCCAGAAGAAAAUGCUCUAGUCUGAGAUAUCAGUCUGUGUAAAAGCAAUGUACAAGAGUUCCAGUGUUGCCACAUCCUCUCCAACACAUCAUAUUGUUGUUGUUCCUGUUGACUUAUUGUGGUCAUCCUGGUGGUCAGAUUCGAAAACUGAAAAUUAGACAAGGAACCUGAAUUGCAGCGCCAAGAGAGAAGUAUGGAUUCCAGAUGUUGAUUUUGGAAUCAUCAGUAGAGGAUGUUUACUGAAACAUGUGAACGGAAGUGUUUUCUCCAGAAGAGAGAUUAAAGAAUGAAAAUAGAGGUCUAUGGGGAGAGAAUCCUUGAAAGGAAACUGAGAAGUACUGAAGAAAGUUGUAUGUAUGUAGGAGGAAACCCAGAUGAGAGUCGUGUCCGAAAAACUGCGAGAGAAGGAGUUGAGGAAGGGGAGGGAGUGGCCCAUAUGUCACAGGCUGGAGAGAAACCUUCAGAAAUAAAAACUGAAAUGUGGCCCAUGUAUUUCAUGAAUUUAGCAGCUAGGUCUCUGGGUCCGUGGCAGAAGCAGUUUCCUGAACUGGUGGAGACAGUCAGCUUACAAGGCACCAAGGAGUGAACAGAACAUGCAAUGAUAGGAAAUAAGAACCUUUGUUCCUAAGGAUAAAAAGAUAAGGUCGUAUCCAGAGGUGGGACUGUGGAUUGUCAAUGUUGUUGUUUUAAGAAGGCAAAUAUUUGAGUAUGCUUAUGAAAGAAAAGGCUAUUGUGGUGAGGGGGAGGUUGAAAUGGCAGGGUAUGGGAGUGAGAGCCUAACAAUGGAUUUCGUUAUCUACAGUAAAGCUGUGCAUUGUGGUCGGCAGAGCCAUGCCAGCCCAUGAACUGGGAAUUACUGAUCUGAGACAUGAUAAAUAUGGAAGUGCAAAAUAAACAUUUAGAAAUGUUUAUAGCUAUUCGACAGAGUUAUUUGAUACCUUUGAAUCUAAAUAUUUAAAAACUAGGAGCUUGCAUUUUAUACAUCCUUCUUUGGUCAUUGUUGCUUUUCUAGUGGUUCACUUUUAUG
rnacentral:lncRNA from 1 species